rnacentral:rRNA from 1 species
AUUGAACGCUAGCGGCAUGCUUUAUACAUGCAAGUCGAACGAGUGGCGGACGGGUGAGUAAUAUAUCGGAACGUGCCCAGUAGCGGGGGAUAACUACUCGAAAGAGUGGCUAAUACCGCAUACUCUUGGAGCUGCCCAUAUGGGAUUAGCUAGUUGGUGGGGUAAAGGCUCACCAAGUCCACGAACCGUAGGUGGUUUGAGAGGACGACCAGCCACACUGGGACUUAGACACGGCCCAGAAUCCUACGGGAGGCAGCAGUGGGGAAUGUUGGACAAUGGGGGAAACCCUGAUGCAGCCAUCCCGCGUGUAUGAGAAGGCCUUCGGGUUGUAAAGUACUUUUAGCAGAGAAGCGGUAUCUGCAGAAUAAGCACCGGCUAACUACGUGCCAGCAGCCGCGGUAAUAC